GCUCCCGUGGCGAAAUUGGCAGGCGCGCCUGAUUCAAAAUCAGGUACCUACGGGUGUCCGAGUUCGAAUCUCGGCGGGAGCA
rnacentral:tRNA from 1 species